rnacentral:rRNA from 1 species
AUCGAACGCUGGCGGCAGGCUUAACACAUGCAAGUCGAACGAGUGGCGAACGGGUGAGUAAUGACUGGGCAACUGCCUGAUGGAGGGGGAUAAAUACUGGUAACGGUAGCUAAUACCGCAUACCAUCAGCUGUGCCCAGAUGGGAUUAGCUAGUUGGUGGGGUAACGGCUCACCAAGGCGACGAGCCCUCGCUGGUCUGAGAUGAGGACCGGCCACACUGGAACUGAGACACGGUCAGGACUCCUACGGGAGGCGGCAGUGGGGAAUAUUGCACAAUGGGCGCAAGCCUGAUGCAGACAUGCCGCGUGUAUGAAGAGGGCCUUCGGGUUGUAAAGUACGUUCAGCGGGGAGGCGUUACCCGCAGAAGAAGCACCGGCUAACUCCGUGCCAGCAGCCGCGGUAAUUC